ACCCUGUGUUUGUUCUUCGCGGGCCGGGCUCUCCCAAGCGCUGGGACAGGACUAUCCUUCAAGCCAAGCAUCUGCAGUCUUGGGGAGCUCAGCUGUUGCCUGUUGCAGAAGGAUCACCCCAGCUGAGUUUGUAGACAGGGUUUCUCUGUGUAGAACAGACUCUCCUCAAACUCAGAGAACCACCUGCCUCUGCCUCUGGAGCUCUGGGAUUAAAGAUCCAGACAGGAACAUGGCUAAUGCCUUGAAUGCUUCCUCAUGUGAGGAGUGCUCGAUGCUGACGAGGAAAGGAAGUGAUUCUAAAACAACCCUUUAGGACUUCCCGCUAUUGCAAAGGCCAGUGCGGAGUGAAUCUGGGGUCGUAAUGUGCUGUGUCCCCACCCUGCCCAGGCCAGUGCAGAGCGAAUGUACUGUCCUUAUGUAUUGUGGCCGCCAGAGGGCAGAACUGAGUCAAGAAGGAGAGCAGGAGAUGGCCGCUCAGAAACAAAAAGCUAAAGAAACUGACCCGAGAUCGCUGACGGCCACCAGAGAAGCACAUUCCAGCGCGUAUUCUCCGUGCUUGGCAUUUCAGUGUGGCUUUCUGUCCAUCCCAGUACAGUGUUGAGUUUGCAACCCUUUCCUUGGUGGGUGUUAUGGUGCAUGCCAGUGAUUGCUGAAGCUGGCAGGCCAAGGAUCGCCUUAGUGAGUUUGAGCUAAUUUGUGUCCAGCAGACUCUCU
rnacentral:lncRNA from 1 species